CAAUAGCGUAUAUUGAAGUUGUUGCGGUUAAAAAGCUCGUCGUUGGAUUUCUGUUGAGGUCGAACAGUGCCGCCCUAUGGGUGCGCAACUGGCUCGGCUUCGGCAUCUUCUUGGAGAGCGCAUCUGCACUUAACUGUGUGGAUCGUACUUCAAGUCAGUUACUUUGAGGAAUUGUGAGUGUUUCAAGCAGGCUUACGCCGUUGAAUCCGUUAGCAUGGAAUAAUAGGAUAGGACCUCGGUUCUAUUUUGUUGGUUUUGAGAGCUGGGGCAGCGAUUGAUAGGGACGGAUGGGGGCGUCUGAACUUUACUGUCAGAGGUGAAAUUCUUAGAUCGGUCAAAGGCGAACUACUGCGAACGCAUUCGCCAAGAAUGUUUUCUUUAA
rnacentral:rRNA from 1 species